UACCAGCACCCCGAGUGGUCGGGACGUUUAUUGGGCCUAAAGCAUCCGUAGCCGGUUCUACAAGUCUUCCGUUAAAUCCAACUGCUUAACAGGUGGGCUGCGGAAGAUACUAUAGAGCUAGGAGGCGGGAGAGGCAAGCGGUACUCGAUGGGUAGGGGUAAAAUCCGUAGAUCCAUUGAAGACCACCAGUGGCGAAGGCGGCUUGCCAGAACGCGCUCGACGGUGAGGGAUGAAAGCUGGGGGAGCAAACCGG
rnacentral:rRNA from 1 species